UGGUAUAUAGUUUAAUUAAAACAAAUGAUUUCGACUCAUUAGAUUAUGAAAGCUCAUAUUUACCAA
rnacentral:tRNA from 2 species